AAAUAUGCACUGAGGAUGACGUCCUCAAAUGUCUUGUUUUAGUCCCCAACUUAAAGAUAUUCCGUUUACUGUCCCAGAGGAGAGAAGAGAACACAUUUAAGAGACUGAUUAUUCAAUUAUCAAAAUAGGUAGAGAUGAAUUGAAUGGUUGAC